rnacentral:rRNA from 1 species
GACAUAGGGAGCGAGCGUUGUCCGGAAUUACUGGGCGUAAAGAGCUCGUAGGCGGGACCGUAAGUCCGAGAGGAAAUCUCAAGGCUCAACUUUGGGGCUUUCUUGGAUACUGCGGUUCUUGAGGAUGAGAGAGGUAAGUAGAAUUCCCGGUGUAGCGGUGAAAUGCGUAGAUAUCGGGAGGAAUACCAGUGGCGAAGGCGGCUUACUGGCUCAUUCCUGACGCUGAGGAGCGAAAGCGUGGGGAGCAAACGGGG